GACAGAGGGUGCAAACGUUGUUCGGAAUUACUGGGCGUAAAGCGUGCGCAGGCGGUUGGCAAAGUCAGCUGUGAAAGCCCCGGGCUCAACCUGGGAAUUGCGGUUGAAACUAGUCGACUAGAAUCUGGCAGAGGGGGGUGGAAUUCCACGUGUAGCAGUGAAAUGCGUAGAUAUCUGGAGGAACACCGGUGGCGAAGGCGGCAUCCUGGACCGAUACUGACACUGAGGAGCGAAAGCCAGGGGAGCAAACGGG
rnacentral:rRNA from 1 species